CUAUGCCCCAUAUAUAUAUAAGGCGACGUAUGUGGUGCCCAAACCAAACGGUGACUAAGAUGACCAAAGGGAGAAUAUCCAGUAGAAAUGUGACGCGUGCCACCUUUGGAGUAUGCUGACCAUAGAAAUUAAAUUUUAAUGUAGGGUAAUUGUUUUAGCUUUGUGAUAAAUGUUAAUUAAAAAGUUAAUUAGAGAAACAGGUGAUACGAUGUAGUUGAAAGUCGUUUUGGGGCUUAUUGUUUUUAAAAGAGAGUUCCUUCUCCUAGCGACGGCGGAGAAUCGAUAACAGCGAUUGUGUACCACAAAUCGAGCAGAGCAUAAAGGAAGACGCGCCGGCAUAGCAAGUGAGGAAGGAAUUUGCAUCGCUGACGGAGUGGUAUAGUGAGAUCGGUAUCAAAUCUGUCGUGGAUGGCUUGGAGGCUUCACAAAUCAAGUAAGAGCCUUGGUAAACACAUUUAAAAUUUCCUUUUGAACAUGCCAUGUUAAUGGGGUUCAACACAAAUGUAAUGGAACAAGGAAUACUCUGGGUACAAGACAUUUAUUACUCGGAAGCAUUGUGGGCGAAAAGUGGGAUUUCAGGGGAAAUGAGACAUUCAUUUACUCCAUUUUUUCAAUGAAAAUAUUUUGGUUGUGCCAAGGGACGAGAAAUUUCUAAAAAAUCAUGAUCUCUUCAGCUGUGUUUGUACUAGAAUCAUAACCUAUUACUUGUUUUCUGGAUAUUUAGUUUUGA